rnacentral:rRNA from 1 species
UACGAAGGGAGCUAGCGUUGUUCGGAAUCACUGGGCGUAAAGCGCACGUAGGCGGAUGUGUCAGUCAGGGGUGAAAUCCCGGAGCUCAACUUCGGAACUGCCCUUGAUACAGCACGUCUUGAGUCCGGAAGAGGUGGGUGGAAUUCCUAGUGUAGAGGUGAAAUUCGUAGAUAUUAGGAAGAACACCGGUGGCGAAGGCGGCCCACUGGUCCGGUACUGACGCUGAGGUGCGAAAGCGUGGGGAGCGAACAGG